UUACGUCCUCCUCAGAUCAGGUGCAGUGUCAUUAUACUGUAGCGUGCCAUUUUUCGCGCGUGCGCAUGUGUUUGCAAUCGCGUUGUGUCGGGUGCUCGUUCACCUCUACAGUACCAGCUUUAAUUUGGAAGCGCGCCUGUGAAUAAUACAGCAGCAUCGGACACGCGCCUAUUGCCCAUUCAAGCCCGAAUAAACCCUCUGACUAUCAAGUCAGUGAGCGGACUUGCAAGGGGACAGCAUUGCCCCAUUACCGCAUCCUCUAUCCCCAUAAAAUAAUAGGGAGAAGAAAGUGCUAAGCAUCUACACAGAUACAUGAGAAGCAAAAAAGAGGGUCCUGCUGCCCCAGAGCGACGUCUAACAUGAACUGAGCCAGUCCUAUGCUCUCAUGGCCCAUGUGUGGACCAAGAGUGGAACUCUGACCCUAUGAUUUCCAUGAUGCUGAAAACACGGACGGAAUCACGGAAUUCAUGCUGAAAAACGGAUUUUAGAUUUAAAAACAUAAAUGUGUGGAAUUUAGAGACUGAAGGGGUGACUGUUACAAAAC